ACACACUUCUUUGUCACACACCGUAGAGUUUAAAAACCAUGGAGAAGCUUUCUUUUGUAUGUGGGAUGGCACUCGUGCCAUUUUGGUGACAGUAUUAAGCCACAUUUCACGUCUGAGCAUGGAGUUCGUUAAUUCAUCUCAUCAAAUAAUCACUAAAAACACGUGAAGUCGCUCGUUGCGCGGCUGAACGCGCUCUCAUUUCCGCGUUUUCUGUCUAGGUGGCAACAUCAUCCCGACGGCCUUCCACCCGGGCCCCAAUUUCCCCGGAUACGGUCCCGUGCAGAUCGCAGCAGCGCCACUGGGUCCGAGACAGUUUCUGCCGCCGCCGAUCUUCUACUGGCCGUACCCUAGUCCCCCGGUCUCCCCUACGAACUACUACCCGACCAUGCCGCCCCCUGGAGCCCUGCCCCCGCAGCAGCCGCAGCAAGCCAUGAUGCCGCCAGAGUGCGUGGCGCUGCCGCCCAUGGCGCCCAUGCCCGCCAUGGACGCCCGGAUCAUGGUAGAUGGGAUCCCCCGACCCGAGCACGACAAGGCCAGACAGAAUUUCGUUCCGAAUCAGUAUGUUGAGUUGAAGAUUUAAUCGAUCGCUCGUACCUAACCUAGUAUCACCGAAAUAAGAAAAUGCUGAGAUUCAGUGACAUUGUAACUUCUAAUUGCACAUAUCAGAUACUUGUAUAAAUGGAAUUAAUAUAUAGCGACUAUUUAAAUUAAUAUAUAUUGCAGAUUAUAAUAUAUUUUCUUGUUAAUAUAAAUUAUUAUGUUUUUAAAUUAUCUUUAUCUCAGUUUAGCGUAGAUUAAGUACCUAAGAUCGUAGCCGACUGGAGUGGGUUCACACACUAAGUGUGGACGACCUCCGGGUUUUAUUUAGCAGACUGCUUGUGAAAUAUUAGUGCAAUUUUAUCGAUUGAUUAAGGCACGAGAUUAUUGAUUACUUUUAAGAAAAGAAUGUUAACAACAAAAAUUGCGUUGUCUUCCACUAGAGUAAUCAAUGUGAUUGUUUUAUUUUAAGGAAUAGCCUCGCUUAACUGCUUACUCUAUGUGAUUUAUUAUUAGUAGCCUGUACUCGUAGUUACACUGCAAUAUCGUUACUGUUAGUGAAAGAAUUGAAUUCCUACGCAACGAAAUAGUCAUAAUUAGUACGAGGCAAAUUAU